GCAGAAUUUAAUUGGUGAAAACACUUAGCCUUCCUCGCAUUUUGAGUUUAUGCUUCUCCAUUCUUUGUGAGGCGACUUACAUCCGAAUCUGAGGAAGAAUUCCAUUUGGCACCAUUCAGUUUCACAUUUAAAGAUAACCUAUUCACAAACAGAAAUUGAUGCAGGAGAACGCUUAUGAGAUUACUUAGAUUUGGAGCCUUUCAUAUUCUCCAUGUUUAUACAGGUUUGCAUGAAAAUGUAAAUUUGAAUAUCUAUGAUUAGUAGUACGAUCAAACCUCUUUAU